rnacentral:lncRNA from 1 species
UUUUAUCAACAAACAAUGUAAGUGUCUAGCAUAGUUUAGGCUAAUUUAUUUUAGCUUUUAAUUUAAGUAUCUAGCAUAAUUUAGAUUAAUUAGUUGCUAGAUCUAGUAAGAAAGUUAAAACUUAAAAGUGCUAGAUCUCUGACAAUAGAUUUCUUUAAAAUCUUUAUUCCCUAAUAGUUGUGUUUUAAACUUAUUUCUCUAUGUAUGUAUACAGUAUUUACACACUCUAUUUUGAGGUGUAAAUCACUUAACUAUUUAUUCCCCAAUUCCCUGUAUUAAUCUACAAAGCCCAUCUAUAUAGGGAUAUACCACCAAACCUGUGAACCAAAGCGCAUUCUAACUCCCUUACUCUAUCAAGUAAGUACUUUCAUUCCUUUGGAAAAAAGAAAGUCUGCUAAAAAAAAAAAUCGUCUUCUGUGAUGUCAGGGAGAAAUCGUCUGCUCACUUGCGACAAGAGGGCAUCCUCUGGCUCUCUUCCAUUCGUUGAUUUCUGUCUUUCGCUUGUGAGUUAUGGGACCAUCCUCAAAUCGUCUUAGUCCAUAUCAUACCAUGUUGCCAUACCAAUAUUUUUUUAACAUUGAACAGAACACUUCUUCUUCAACUUUAAUGUAAAAGCUUUACUCUGUUCUUUUAACCAUAAACUACGCUUAUUUUUACAGAAUUCUAAACCCAAAAAAUCUCAAAUCCCAACUUUUAAGCUUUCUUCUUCUAUCUUCAAGAAGCCCAAUGCCAAGAAAGCAAGAAUAAGCCCUCCUAUGUAUCUCCCUUACUGGCCUCUUCUUUUAAAUUGAAUUAAAACCCAUUCGACACUUUGUAGUAUGAAAGUUUUUUUUAGUUUUUGAUGGGAGAAAAUUACGGCAACUUCAAUGUCUGGAGGUUCAAGAUGGGUUGAAUAAAAGGUUGUUGCAAAAGAGUUUUCUUAAUAAUGUGGGCAAUCUAAACAAUAUAUUGACUGGAAAUGGUAGCGAUAGGCCACAAUGAUGCUAGAUUGGUUAAAACAGAGUGGCCAAAGUGAGCUCGCCGAGGAGCUGGAAGCAGCGAAAGCUAAUACGAAUUAGUAUAGAAAAACUCUUUUUCUUGUAGUC